rnacentral:rRNA from 1 species
AGGAAUCUGCCUAUUAGUGGGGGACAACGUUUCGAAAGGAACGCUAAUACCGCAUACGUCCUACGGGAGAAAGCAGGGGACCUUCGGGCCUUGCGCUAAUAGAUGAGCCUAGGUCGGAUUAGCUAGUUGGUGAGGUAAUGGCUCACCAAGGCGACGAUCCGUAACUGGUCUGAGAGGAUGAUCAGUCACACUGGAACUGAGACACGGUCCAGACUCCUACGGGAGGCAGCAGUGGGGAAUAUUGGACAAUGGGCGAAAGCCUGAUCCAGCCAUGCCGCGUGUGUGAAGAAGGUCUUCGGAUUGUAAAGCACUUUAAGUUGGGAGGAAGGGUUGUAGAUUAAUACUCUGCAAUUUUGACGUUACCGACAGAAUAAGUACCGGCUAACUCUGUGCCAGCAGCCGCGGUAAUACAGAGGGUGCAAGCGUUAAUCGGAAUUACUGGGCGUAAAGCGCGCGUAGGUGGUUUGUUAAGUUGGAUGUGAAAGCCCCGGGCUCAACCUGGGAACUGCAUCCAAAACUGGCAAGCUAGAGUACGGUAGAGGGUGGUGGAAUUUCCUGU